rnacentral:ncRNA from 1 species
GAGCCCUUGUUAUAGCCCAAGUUGAAGAGAACCUUCAGCUAUAAAUCAUCAAAUUGACGGGGAAAUCCUAAAGCAAUCUUAACUAACCUAAUAUAGUAAUAUAUUAGGGGCGCAGGUAAUGACUCGCGAUUAUUUUUAAACUUUUAUUAACUUUAAAAGAUAUUAAAAAUUAAGUAACAUCAAGAUUGAUUUGCGAAAGUGAAUGGACAAUCCGCAUCCAAGCUCCUAUUAUUAGGAGAAAGGUUCAUCGACUACAUGGUGGUUGGCGCAAGCUUAAAAUAUAGUCAAGCCUCAUCCGAGAGGAUGCA